GAAUUCGAACCAAGGGACAGACUUGUGAGCUUAAGGCUAAACGUGGGCUAAAAAUGCACAAAAUAUGGCGUAUAUAGUAGAUGCGAAAAAGAGUUCGGGCAGGGUCUUCUGGUCCAUGAUGCGAAGAACGUUCAGUCUUAUCUGCUUUGGCUUCGUCUCACAGCUCUGUAUCGUCGAGGAUAUCAGCUAGCAACUGUAGCGAAGGCCUGCGUUGAACGAUCAACUUUGACGGCGGACAGCGAACAACCAGCUUCUCGAUUCAAGGAGCCCUGCUUCUUCUCCAUUGCUUAUUGCCUAGUUAUGCUCCCUGGCAUUAGUAAGGCGACAGGAGUCGUUUCUCUGGCAGGGCACCAACGUCUCCACGAAACGAGUCAAAUAGAACCGCUGUGUGGCUGUAUAGUUAUUGCGACGAUGGGCCGAACGAAGGUGCAGAAACCAAAAAACUCGAAGGAAAAUUGCUAAUUUCAGGGAAAAGGCUGCAGAUGAAUACAUUUAAAAGUAAAUAUUUAGCAUGUAUAAUCUAACAAGAUCUAACCUUUUUUGGCGCAAGCUGUAGUCCCUUUGUUUAGCAUCAUUUGCCUUUGAACCAGCGGGUAACAGGUUUCUGGUGAUAUUUGCGAGUGCUGAAAAGCUAAAGGGUUGGUACGAGAUGCAAGACAAUUACAUAGGAAAGGCGGAACAGUUGACAGCUGUCGAAAGCUGAAGUAUCCGGCUCACACGUUUCUGCCAGCGAAGGAAUGCUGAGAUCACAUGACGCACCUCCUCCACGGGCAGAACCAUAGAGCGUGGACUGGAUGUCUACUAGUCAGGCGGUUUCCCCUCUUCCCUCACUGUCAGCAGGACGAUAGCCUGGAGCGAAGAGAUGUGAUACUCGUCUUUACGCCUACGACACAACAGAGCGAACACUUGCAAUUGUAUCGUUGAGGAUACUAUAAGAAUCCGUAAGAGGAAAAAAAAGCUGACGAUGUGAUGUAUUUGCCGACCAGGAGAGGCGAAAACGUUAGACCAUAAAUUGAAUGAAGGAAGAAAGUGAUUUCAUACUGGAGGUGCAUCCGAAUAGUUCUUGCAUUGAAGUUCCGUCCGUGUUCUACGUGUGUACCCGUGCGAUUGGACAUUGCCCUCAUUCAUUUUACGUAAAUAAGAUGGUCCGCCUGUAAUUCUAUACACUGGUAUAAUACAAUUGUAUAAUCUCCUGGCAGCAUCUAGGUAUUAAUACUCUUUCUAAAGUAAACGAUCUCACGUUGAGACAGCUAGAUUUAAUUUCCGUUCU
rnacentral:lncRNA from 1 species